ACGGAAGGCAGCAGUGGGGGAUAUUGCACAAUGGGCGAAAGCCUGAUGCAGCAAUGCCGCGUGAGGGAAGAAGGUUUUCGGAUUGUAAACCUCUGUCCCGGAUGACGAAGAUAGUGACGGUAAUCAGGGAGGAAGCCACGGCUAACUACGUGCCAGCAGCCGCGGUAAUACGUAGGUGGCAAGCGUUGUCUGGAAUUACUGGGUGUAAAGGGAGCGCAGGCGGGUAGAUAAGUCAGCGGUGAAAACUAUGGGCUCAACCCCUGGACUGCCGAUGAAACUGUUUUUCUUGAGUGAAGUAGAGGCAGGCGGAAUUCCGAGUGUAGCGGUGAAAUGCGUAGAUAUUCGGAGGAACACCAGUGGCGAAGGCGGCCUGCUGGGCUUAUACUGACGCUGAGGCUCGAAAGUGUGGGGAGCAAACAGGAUUAGAUACCCUGGUA
rnacentral:rRNA from 1 species